GCCAGAGCUCGCUGUCUCCCCUCCACUUUCCCGGGAGCAAACACGGGGAGACGAAUUUUUACGUCUGUUAAGGCUUCAGAAGGGGCAACUUCUGCCUGCGGGAGAGGAAAGGAUCAAGACAAAGCCACGGCCCGCUCAGCCCUGGGGGAAUGUGAAGGGCCUAAGUCCAGGGCUCAGAGGCCCCCAGUUGGUGCCUGAUGUUCCAGCGCCCUGUGCUCCUUCCUGACUGCCUUGCUUCUGAGGUCAGAGAACUGGACCAAGAGAGCUGCCAAGGCCAGGAGACCAGGCCUUUGGCAAGAAACUUCUCAGAGCCCAGGUCUCCUAAAACCUGUGAAACGGAUUCAAUAAUGGCUCACGUGGGGCUCCGCGAGCAUGAGAGCCAGCCAGCACCACAGCCCGCCCAGGCCGGACUCGGAGCGGUCUCAGCCUCACUCUCCUCGUCUCUGAGACGGUAGCGAUGAUGUUCCCUGCCCACGAGAAUGAAACAAGACGAGCAGAGAAGAGCACUGAGGCUGCUCUGUAGGCCCCAAGACAGCCGCCCUCCCCAGGCCCAGGGGGCCAACUCCACAGAGCCUGCGCCAGCCCUUUAAAUACUGAGAUUUGCCUACAAAAAACACCAGCGUCGGCCCCUCGCCCUCUACUCAUUGAAAAACACAAUGGCUGAAUGUUUCGUUUCUAUAGAAAAUAAAGAGA